rnacentral:rRNA from 1 species
GACGAACGCUGGCGGCGUGCCUAAUACAUGCAAGUAGGACGCAGUUGCGAACGGGUGAGUAACGCGUAGGUAACUACCUAUUAGAGGGGGAUAACUAUCGGAAACGAUAGCUAAUACCGCAUACUAGUAGAUGGACCUGCGUUGUAUUAGCUAGUAGGUAGGGUAAUGGCCUACCUAGGCAACGAUACAUAGCCGACCUGGGGGGGUGAUCGGCAACACUGGGGCUGAGGAACGGGCCAGACUCCUACGGGGAGCAGCAGUAGGGGAACUUCGGGAAUGGGGGGAAACCUGACCGAGCAACGCCGCGUGAGGGAAGAAGGUUUUCGGAUCGUAAAGCUCUGUUGUUAAGGAAGCGGUACUUAACCAGAAAGGGACGGCUAACUACGUGCCAGCAGCCGCGGUAAUAC